rnacentral:rRNA from 1 species
GCCGUCCUUGAAAUACCACCCUUUAAUGGCUGGUGUUCUAACGUAGACCCGUGAUCCGGGUUGCGGACAGUGUCUGGUGGGUAGUUUGACUGGGGCGGUCUCCUCCCAAAGAGUAACGGAGGAGCACGAAGGUUGGCUAAUCCUGGUCGGACAUCAGGAGGUUAGUGCAAUGGCAUAAGCCAGCUUGACUGCGAGCGUGACGGCGCGAGCAGGUGCGAAAGCAGGUCAUAGUGAUCCGGUGGUUCUGAAUGGAAGGGCCAUCGCUCAACGGAUAAAAGGUACUCCGGGGAUAACAGGCUGAUACCGCCCAAGAGUUCAUAUCGACGGCGGUGUUUGGCACCUCGAUGUCGGCUCAUCACAUCCUGGGGCUGAAGUAGGUCCCAAGGGUAUGGCUGUUCGCCAUUUAAAGUGGUACGCGAGCUGGGUUUAGAACGUCGUGAGACAGUUCGGUCCCUAUCUGCCGUGGGCGCUGGAGAAUUGAGGGGGGCUGCUCCUAGUACGAGAGGACCGGAGUGGACGCAUCACUGGUGUUCGGGUUGUCAUGCCAAUGGCACUGCCCGGUAGCUAAAUGCGGAAGAGAUAAGUGCUGAAAGCAUCUAAGCACGAAACUUGCCCCGAGAUGAGUUCUCCCUGAGACCUUGAGUCUCCUGAAGGAACGUUGAAGACGACGACGUUGAUAGGUCGGGUGUGUAAGCGCAGCGAUGCGUUGAGCUAACCGAUACUAAUGAACCGUGAGGCUUAACCUUACAACGCCGAAGGUGUUU